rnacentral:rRNA from 1 species
UGUCGUGAGAUGUUGGGUUAAGUCCCGCAACGAGCGCAACCCCUAUCUCUAGUUGCCAGCGAUUCGGUCGGGGACUCUAGAGAUACUGCCCCGGUUAACGGGAGGAAGGUGGGAUGACGUCAAGUCCUCAUGGCCCUUAUGCCCAGGGCUACACACGUGCUACAAUGGGCGGUACAAAGGGUAGCGAUGCCGCGAGGUGAAGCCAAUCCCAAAAAGCCGUCCACAGUUCGGAUUGGAGUCUGCAACUCGACUCCAUGAAGCCGGAAUCGCUAGUAAUCGUGGAUCAGCAUGCCACGGUGAAUACGUUCCCGGGCCUU